UGUUGCUUGGCUGGAGGGCUGCUGAGAACAACCUGGAGGUGCAGGGAAGGAGGGCCGGCUACAAAGGAAGUGCUCCUGUCAUACCAAUUCCUUCAGGAUGACAUGCACUUCUGGGUUCACCCCAAGGCUUGGAUUAUGCCUCGGGUUAUCACGAGAGGUAACCCAUAUCAUCUCUUCUCACUAACGUGUAUACAAUCCAGCCUUUCUUUACAACAACAAUCCAUAGAAAAAACAUCUGGGGUUGCAAACUGACAAAUGACAGCAAGGGAAGAGGAGAGCGCCCAUUGGAUCUUCAAGAGAAAUUUAAAGUAGCCUAUUUACAGAAGGAUCACAGCCGAAACGGCAGCUACCAGGGCCAGUGAUGCUGACUGGGUUUGCAAUCCCACUGCAUGAAGCUCACUUCCCAAGAGGAGCUCCCACAUGUCCUGGGGUGUCCCUUCACUUGUUUGGGACCAAUGAGGAGGAGAUGUACCACUGCUCAGGACAGGUCAGGAUGUGUUGUUCCUUAGGGCAGACUGGCAGUUUACUUGCCAUCAUACCAUUUGCCUAUCCUGCCCUCCCCCUUUCAGUUCCCAGCACCAAGAUGCCCAGAAGGAACGCCUGUACAACCAAACACUGAAACCAGGGAUGAACAUUUGAGGACUCAUGUCCUGGCAGUGUUAUUCAAAUUGCCAAUUACGCAAAUCAUGAACAAGACUGUAUAAGGGGAAAUAAGGCAAAGUUUGAGUAGACGCUUAAUACACACACCACAUUCAUUCCCCGAUUUCUGUUUUGUGCUGGUAUAUGCUACCAGUCUUAUUGGUGUUCGGGUCAACUUAGUGGCCAGCUAAAUUGAUCACGAGUAGAAGCCAGGCUCCUGCUGGUCCCUCUCAUCAAAUGAACUGAUGCUUCAGGAUGAUAUGCAGAACAAGACCCAACAUUGAUAUGUCUAGCAUCAUCUUUUAAAGCCUUGUAAAUUCACCCAGUCCUCUGGGCUUUUGCUGGGUUAUCACUGUGUUCUUGAAGGUCAAUUGCCAUUGUUCUCUCGCUAUUCUGG